UACAAUGAACAGACAUGUAAACUACUUUCUGAAUUAGUAAAAUUGCCCAAUUAACACGCGAAAGUUUUUUUCUUUCUUUCUUUUUUUUUUUUCAUAAUGGGGGUCAUAUUUAUCAAAUCAUAGCAAAUAAUACAAAGGAUUUUGAUAUGAUCACUCCUAUCAACUCAAUUAGCUGCAGCUUUCAUUGCCCACCGAAGGGGGUCUCAAUUUCUGAACAGUUCUUUCAUUGGAUUCGCUCGAAAAAGAAAUUUCGGAAUAAUGAAUAUGUAAUGAUUCUUAUUUAAAAUGGUGCAUUGCAUCAAAUAUCAUGCAUUUUUCCCUUUUUUUUUUUCUUGGGCGUUUAUGGUUUGUAUUAUUUUAAUUAUUGCACUAGUCAUUUCCAGAUGUGUGGCUCAUUCUAUGUCACCUUUAAUCGAUUAUUUACGUUCCAUUAUUUUCAUACGUGCCAAUGUCACAUUACUAUCAUUAGGAUUAUUAAGGAUAUUUGAAACACUGAAAAUUAUUAGAUGCAGACAUCCUGCGUUUUAAAAUAUAAAUUUUAAAUUGGUUUCAGCUGUCUAGUUUUAAUUUAGAACUUAGUUUUAAGUUGGUUCCAUAUGUCUAGUUUUAAUUUAAAACUUAGUUACAAUCGGACCUAUGAAAAUAUCUUUGUUUUUUUAUAAAAAAAUACUAUAUGCGUCCCUUCUUAAGUACUAAGGAUAUCUAAGAAGCAAAUGGAGAUAACAACCCAUUUUAAGAUCAGAUUUACUGUAAGAAUUGGUAAUAUGAUAGCUCAUAAUUUAGCUAAAUUAGCCUUUGAUUUUUAGAAUUAUAUAUAUAAUUUGGUUGGAGGGUCUUCCUUUGCAACAUAUAUUUAUGAGAAACACUCUAAUUAUUAAAUAUGUAUGUCCUCCAAAUAUUAAAAUCAUAUUCUGUUUCACUUAAAUUAACCACCAAAAAUAGACAAAAAAUAAAUAUCUCCGCUGAUCGAAAGGUAACUAUUGACUUCGAAAGCACUUUUAAAUACAUCAUAAUAUAUUGUAAAGUUUGUUGAAAUCCCAUACCAAAGUUAUUGUAAAGUUUAAUACAAAAAAUAGCAAAGUGGGUAGUUCAGUUAUAAAUUGAAAUCCAAUAUCCAACGAUGUUACAAGUUAAAGUCAAAUUCAGCACAAAAGUCUUAAUCAAUGCCAUUAAAAUUGAAUUUAAAAAAAAAAAUUCUUCCUUUGAAUUUCUGGGUUCUAUUGCACUGAAUUAAAAGUUUGCUGUUUGCUGGUUUCUUACGUGAAGGGCUUGUUUGGUUGUCGGCUAGUAGAAGAAGUAUAAAUUAAUUUCACAUCUUAUUCGAACCAAAAUCUAAUCUGCCAUAGUCAACAUGAUGUAUUCUCUUUUUCUUGUACACCAUGUGAUGUUACUGACUUUUUCAUCAGCCUGAUUUAAGAUUUAUCAAAUCAAGGGGCCCUUUGUUGAAAUUAAUUUUUCCUAGAAUUAAUCGUUUAAAAUUAAUUUAGGGUUUCUUCUUUGACCAGAGCCCAGAAUUGUACAAUCCUGAAGAUUUUCUUUUCCCGGAAAAUAGAAUUCAAUUCGUUCCCUGUUUCAUGGCAAAAGCUAACAUAAAAGAAACCCAAAUGUCGCCCAGAUUGAUUAAAGAAUUACAGGUACAAUGAUGAGCAAAUGCACUAGAAUUGAAGUGGGUCCAAAUUUAUAUAUUACUUACAAAUUUAAAGCUUUAUAAUAUGGGCUG
rnacentral:lncRNA from 1 species